ensembl:misc_RNA 7SK 7SK RNA
GGACGUGAGGGUGAUCUGGCAGUGACAUCUGUCACCCCACUAAUCACCAGGGCUGAUUUGGCUAAUCUGUCUGGCUAAGCAGGUGUCCUCUUCCUCCCUCAAGACUCCAUGUGUGUCCCUCCCUUCAUGCUUAGUUGAAGAGGAUGAACUUCCCCAAUAGAGGAGGACCAUUCUUUAGCCAAGGGUAUAAAAGCAGUUGUACUCCCCUACUAGAACCUCCAAACAAGCUCUCAAGGAUGAAGAAAGCCUAUGUAACACAUGGGACACCAUUAAGUGAACAAAUAAUCCAGAAAGAGAAUAUAUAGGAAAGGGCAUAGAAAACCUAUUU